ensembl:lncRNA
CCCUCUCCCUCACCCCAAUCCUAACCCCGACCCUAACCCUUCCCCCUGGGUUAACCCCGACCCCGACCCCUGACCCCAACCCUUCACCCCGACCCCCGACCCUAACCCCGACCCUAACCCUUCCCCCUGGGUUAACCCCGACCCCUGACCCCAACCCUUCACCCUCACCUGAUCUUUCCCCUUUUUUGCACGUCUACUAAAAAGACAUGUGGUGAUCCUGUAGGGGGGAUGAAGAUGAUGAUGAUAAUGAUGAUGGUGAUGAUGAUGGUGAUGAUGAUGAUGAUGAUGAUGAUGGUGAUGAUGAUGAUGAUGGUGAUGAUGGUGUUGAUGAUAAUGAUGAUGUUGAUGAUGAUGAGUGGGCGGGGUUACCUGCUCUUAUUUACACUGUAACAUGGCAGGUGCGAAUAAAUGGGUGUGUCUAUAUAUCAGUGGGCGAACCUGAUUGGAUCUGCCUUCAUGAUUGACAGGUGAAUGGGUGUGUCUAUAUAUCAGUGGGCGAACCUGAUUGGAUCUGCCUUCAUGAUUGACAGGUGAUGAGAUUAGAUUUUCUCCUUCCGGGUGGCAGCAUUAUGCAACCCAGGCGGCAGCCGACUCCAGUCCAGAUUAGGGUCAGAUUGGGGCUAGAUUAGGGCCAGAUUAGGACGGCUCCAGUCAAGAUUAGGGCCAGAUUAGGACGGCUCCAGUCUAGAUUAGGGCCAGAUUAGGACGGCUCCAGUCUAGAUUAGGGUCAGAUUAGGACGGCUCCAGACGGCUCCAGUCUAGAUUAGGGCCAGAUUGAGACGGCUGCAGUCUAGAUUGGGGCCAGAUUGGAACGGCUGCUGCCAGGGAACAGGUUGCAAUAUCCAACCACCCCAGGCGUGGUUUUAGGGAUGAGGGCGUGGUCUAAGUGAUGAGGGGGCGUGGUCGUAUUGAUGAGGAGGCGUGGUCUUAGUGGCGUCUCUCCUUUUCCUUUUCGCGUGGAGUUGUUUAUUUUGAAGUGUAAUUGAAUUAUUGCAUAUGAAGACUUUAAACAGAGACACUGGCAUGAUUAAACCCUCUGUGCUAAAUCUACUUUAGAUUUCUCUUUCUCUUUGAGUUCUCCUCUCCGCAUCCACACACUGUUGUUGUCUCAGAGUAAAGUUUACACACAAACAC